UGGACAACGAUUGGGGCCAGAAUUUUGGGAAGUUCGUAUUACGAAAGCGAUAAAGCCUCGUCAAAAUUUGGUGAAAGCUCUUGAAGGUGUCAAAACAAUUGGAGAUGCACUUCACAAAUGUGUAGCUUGGCCUUCGGUUGAUAUUGAGGAUCCAUUUGCAGACUUUGCAAAUUGAGGGGAAUUAGAUAGACCAUGUAGAUAAAGGACAUACUUUUUGGAACUUUUAUUUUGGCACUUGUGUUUUGAGACAUAUUUUGCAACUAAUUGCUACAUUUGCAGGUUUAAAAGGAGCUAGAUAGAACACAUAGAUGAUGUACAUGCUUUUUGGGACUUUUUAUUUUGGCACUUGUGUUUUGAGACAAUAUUUUGGAAUUAGUUGCAGCAUUUUGCAGAUUAGGGGAGUUAGGUGGACCAUGUAAAUGCAAAUGUCUUGGGACUUUUAUUUUGAUACUAUAUAUUUUGAGACAAAUAUUUGGAACUAAUUGCUACAAGUGACAUGUAUUUUGGAACUAAUUGCUACAAGUGACAUGUAUUUGGAACUUUGCUACAUGUGACAUGUAUUUUGAAAUAGAUUUUGUUAAUUGAAUA